CAGUGCAGUUUUGUGUUUUUUGUGGCAUGACUCUACGGAUUUGCAAAACCAAGGUUAAACAGUAAAGAGGAGCAGGUCGCCUCCUGAGAGUGGAACCCUCCAAGGCAAAUCAGCAAUUCAUGCUUGACUUUCAGCUGUUUUAUCAAUCACCUUAAUGUGUAUUUACUCAGAAUAGAAAUAAAAACAAGAUUCUCCCAUUAGGUGCUACUGGCUGGUUUCCACAGAUCAAGUGUGAAUAAGGAUAUUGGAAGUAUACAUGAUGGCGGAGGGAGACUUAAAAGGCAUGCAGAAGCAUCAGAGAGGGAGAGAGAGAGUGUCCAGAAAGCACAGCAGUUGAACACAGAAAGAGAGAGUGCUUUU